rnacentral:rRNA from 1 species
UACGGAGGGGGGCUAGCGUUGUUCGGAAUUACUGGGCGUAAAGCGCACGUAGGCGGCUUUGUAAGUUAGAGGUGAAAGCCCAGGGCUUAACCCUGGAAUUGCCUUUAAGACUGCAUCGCUAGAAUCGUGGAGAGGUAAGUGGAAUUCCGAGUGUAGAGGUGAAAUUCGUAGAUAUUCGGAAGAACACCAGUGGCGAAGGCGACUUACUGGACACGUAUUUGACGCUGAGGUGCGAAAAGCGUGGGGGAGCAAAACA